rnacentral:tRNA from 1 species
CAGGGAAUAGUUUAAUUAAAAUAUUAAUUUUGGAAAUUAAUGAAAAAGUAUCUUCUUUUUCUCUGA